rnacentral:rRNA from 1 species
AUUGAACGCUGGCGGCAGGCCUAACACAUGCAAGUCGAGCGGAUGAAGGGAGCUUGCUCCUGGAUUCAGCGGCGGACGGGUGAGUAAUGCCUAGGAAUCUGCCUGGUAGUGGGGGAUAACGUCCGGAAACGGGCGCUAAUACCGCAUACGUCCUGAGGGAGAAAGUGGGGGAUCUUCGGACUUCACGCUAUCAGAUGAGCCUAGGUCGGAUUAGCUAGUUGGUGGGGUAAAGGCCUACCAAGGCGACGAUCCGUAACUGGUCUGAGAGGAUGAUCAGUCACACUGAAACUGAGACACGGUCCAGACUCCUACGGGAGGCAGCAGUGGGGAAUAUUGGACAAUGGGCGAAAGCCUGAUCCAGCCAUGCCGCGUGUGUGAAGAAGGUCUUCGGAUUGUAAAGCACUUUAAGUUGGGAGGAAGGGCAGUAAGUUAAUACCUUGCUGUUUUGACGUUACCAACAGAAUAAGCACCGGCUAACUUCGUG